GACCUGUUCGAUGUCGGUCCGCUAUAUAAGGAACCGCGUUCGAGUUUGCCGCCUCGGGAGGGGAGUUUUCUUCACUUCCGUACGCGGCAAAGACGCGGAUUUCUGGCCGACUCGUCGGACAGUAGGUCAACACGGGUGGCCGGCUGGUGUUGCGCGGCUUCGGUCGCGCGCGCCACCGGUGCCGGUCAGCGACGAAUCUUCGGGCCUCUUUCCGACCCGUCUUGAAACACGGACCAAGGAGUCUAACGUGCGCGCGAGUCGCGGGGUGUCGAACGCGUUUUUUGGCGUUGCGUCGCGAUACGCAACGUUGGGGCGCGUUCGUUACUGAACGAAACCCGUACACGUGAAAGGCGUAAUGAAAGUGAACUGGGGAAGAUGGCGUUACCGAGUACACGUUCCACGGUCGCUGGUACUGUGGCCGGUCGCCCGCAUUCCCGGGGCGUCCCAAUGGCUCGUCCAAUUUAUUGAACGGG
rnacentral:rRNA from 1 species